ensembl:snoRNA SNORA47 small nucleolar RNA, H/ACA box 47
CGGAGGAGUGAGAAGGUGAGGCAGUUCAGUCCUGUGCUGCCUUCCACCGGUUAAGACCUCCGAGAGUGAAGGCCUGCCAAAGCAGAGGAUGUCCCUCUGCUGCCCUUGGAGGGGCAGCGCUGUGCUGGCCGACAUUUG